rnacentral:rRNA from 1 species
CGGGAAACUGGGGGUAAUACCCUAUAGACUAGGGAUGCUGGAAUGCUCGGUAGCCGAAAGGUCCGCCGCUGUAGGAUGGGUCUGCGGCCGAUUAGGUUGUUGUUGGGGUAACGGCCCAACAAGCCUGUAAUCGGUACGGGUUGUGGGAGCAAGAGCCCGGAGAUGGAUUCUGAGACACGAAUCCAGGCCCUACGGGGCGAAGCAGGCGCGACAACUUUACAAUGCGGGAAACCGUGAUAAGGGAACUCUGAGUGCCCGUAAAAUCGGGCUGUCCAUCAGUUUAAAUAACUGGUGAAGAAAGGGCCGGUCAAGACCGGUGCCAGCCGCCGCGGUAACA